UAGUACGGAUAAAUCUCAUAGAUUGGAGGAAUGACAAUACCAUAAGUAUCAGGACGAUGAACGAUGGCCACCGAAACGGUGUACAAGAACAUGCCUUCGUUAAUGUAUUGACGAGCCCAAACGGCAAAAUUGUAGAAGGUUUCAAAAUCUUUGGCAUAGUAAAACAUGUCAAAUAAAACUUUGACUUGUUCUA